GCUGGAGUAGCUCAGUUGGUAGAGCAACGGUUUCGUAAACCGUAGGUCGUGGGUCCGACUCCCAUCUCCAGCU
rnacentral:tRNA from 1 species